rnacentral:rRNA from 1 species
AUUGAACGCUGGCGGCAGGCCUAACACAUGCAAGUCGAGCGGAAGCACAGUGCUUGCUUGUGGUUACAGCGGGGGACGGGUGGGCGAUGCAUGGGAAUAUCCCAGGCUGUGGUUUAGAACGUCAGGAAGUAGGCGCUCAUACCGCAUUAGUGCAGACGGCGUACGUGGGAGAGCUUCGGAUCUUACGCCCUCAGGUGAGUGUAGGUCGGAUUAGCUAGUUGGUGGGGUAAAGGCCUACCAAGCCGACGAUCCGUAGCUGGUCUGAGAGGAUGAUCAGUCACACUGGAACUGAGACACGGUCCAGACUCCUACGGGAGGCAGCAGUGGGGAAUAUUGGACAAUGGGCGAAAGCCUGAUCCAGCCAUACCGCGUGUGUGAAGAAGGUCUUCGGAUUGUAAAGCACUUUUAGUUGGGAGGAAGAGCAGUAAGUUAAUACCUUGCUGUUUUGACGGUACCAACAGAAUAAGCACCGGCUAACUUCGUG